rnacentral:rRNA from 1 species
GACGAACGCUGGCGGCGUGCUUAACACAUGCAAGUCGAACGGACUGCCUGCGGCUUUUGUUGUGGGUGGUGAGUGGCGAACGGGUGAGUAACACGUGAGUAACCUGCCCCCUUCUCCUGGAUAACCUCAUGAAAGUGGGGCUAAUACGGGGUACUCUGGUCUGCCUGCAUGGGUGGGCUGGGAAAGGUUUUUUCUGGUGGGGGAUGGGCUCGCGGCCUAUCAGCUUGUUGGUGGGGUGAUGGCCUACCAAGGCUUUGACGGGUAGCCGGCCUGAGAGGGUGGACGGCCACACUGGGACUGAGACACGGCCCAGACUCCUACGGGAGGCAGCAGUGGGGAAUAUUGCACAAUGG